UCUGGGGGCAAAAUUCAGGGAAGCGCGCGACAACAUUCGAAACGGCGCGAGUAGGCGGCGCCAAAUCAGCCACAAUCGCGCUGAGCUCACUUCCUUUUUAUUCGGGGGUCGCGUGCUUUUGUCUCCAUUUUCAUUUCGACAGUCAACGCGCCGCAACAGGAGAGCCCCGCCGUCCUCGUCAUCAGCCGCGCGGUACCAGCGAGAGCUGUUCAUGCAAAGCACUAAAAUUAAUCUGCGUGAAGAAGUGGAUAUUUUUACUCACCGCUUACAUAACAGGACUAUAUUUUCAUUUGUUGUUUCCUUUUUUGCUUACACGAAGACUGUUUCUAUUGAACAAUUGAUUCAGAUUUUUCCAUUACUAACUGUCUGAUUAACACUCAAAAUGGAGAAUCAAGAAAGCAAGUACCUCCCGGAGCUUCUCGCGGAGAAGGACAGUUUGGAUGCAUCGUUUACGCACGCAAUGAAACUUUUAUCUGCAGAAAUCGAGAGAAUCCAGAAAGGGGAGCCCAAGAAGGACGGAGGGGACACGUACCUGGACCUGUUCACCGUCAAGAACAUCAAACUGAAGGAGCGAGUGCUGAUACCGGUCAAACAGUAUCCCAAGUUCAACUUUGUGGGGAAGAUUCUAGGCCCUCAGGGCAACACAAUCAAACGCCUUCAAGAAGAGACUGGCGCCAAGAUCUCAGUACUUGGGAAGGGCUCAAUGAGGGACAAGGCCAAGGAGGAGGGUCUGAGGAAAGGCGGCGAGCCCAAGUACGCCCACCUGACCAUGGAGCUCCACGUGUUCAUUGAGGUGUUUGCUCCGGUCCCCGACGCCUAUCUGCGCAUGGCGCACGCCAUGGAGGAGGUCAAGAAGUUUCUCUUCCCGGACAUGAUGGACGACAUCUGUCAGGAGCAGUUCAUGGAGAUGGGUUAUCUGAACGGCGGCCAGGAGCUCGUGCCAGGCGCUCCACGGGGCAGAGCGGGGCCGUUGGGUCCUAGAGGUCGGGGAGGGCCGCCCGGACAACCUGGAACACCUAGGGGCAGGGGUAUGCCUCCGCGAGGAGGUGCCACCAGGGGGGUUGUAACCCGCGGUGGGCCAGCCAGAGGCGGGGUAGCGAGGGGGGCGUCGGCAGGCCGCGGGGGACCUCCAGCUGCCCCGGGCCGAGGUACCGCAGCCCCCCGGGCCAGACCCCCUGCUCCUGGGGGACCAGCGAGGAUGCCCCCUCCACCCUCCCACCAGCAGCACCAGCACGCUGCGGCCACUGAACAAUACGAGGAAUAUACCUAUGAGGAGAGCUACACGGAGCCAGCAUACGAGUCAUACGACAGUUACUACAGCCAACCACAGGCAGAGCCGGAAUACUACGACUACGGGCAUGGAGAGACACAGGAAGCAUAUGAGCCCUAUGCCCAGGACGACUGGAACGGGAACCAGAGGGCAGCCUCAGGGGGAAAGGCCCCCCCCGCCCGAGCGACUAAGGGCCCUUACCGAGAACACCCCUAUAGACAGUACUGACCUCUCCAUGACAACGCCUGCCUAGUGACCAACACAACCACCGCUUACGGGCUGUCCCGGCAACCACCAACCUGUCGACCACAGCAGCUCUCGCUUUAAGCAACCCUCGACAAAAGACCCUGAGGUAAGACCUCUUAAAUAACCUGGAUAGCUUCCUAAUGUGUAUAGCGCUCUAUGGCAUUGAAUGCCUGGGUAUGUAUCAACACUUUUUCAAUCCAUCUAUCCUGUGGUAUUAGUCGGCAAUGAGAAAUGCUUUGCUAGAAACACCUGUUAGUAAAUUAACUGAACUCAAACCAUUUAAGUCUUAGAUUUCAGGGUUUUUACCCGAUGUUGAUGUCAUGUGUUGAGGCUCGAAGGUUAGUAAAGAGUGUAAUGGCAGUUCACUAGGGGAGAUGGUUUUAACUGUAAUCACUCCACUAUAAAGGUAACCCCAACCCUAAAUGUGUAAUUUGGUAGUGUGUUUAUACAUUGAAUUAAUCUUCUGGUAAAUGCGUGCAAUUUAGUUAAAGAAGAAUUCUAGUCAUGUUAAAAAAAAAAAGACUAAUAAAAAGUAAUGAAAAACGUAACUUCCAAUAUUAUUCUAGUUCUAGAUUUCAUUUUCUAAAAUAACUGUUCUGUAUACUAACAAAAUACCCAACAGUAGAAUAGUAUUAAUGCAACUCUUGCUAAAAUGAAAAUCUGCAAAGCCGAAUCUAUAUCAAUAUCCUGACCAGUUAAGCUGCUGCUACUUUUUCUUUGCAAUAUCGGUGUAAGUGUUUCUACAUAUUACAAUGAUUAAGAUUUUUUACUUGUAGAGAGUAAUGUCAAAAAGCCUGAGUUGCAUGCCUACAACUCUAUAGACGUUGCAUGAUCUUGAAUGAACCCGCUCGGGUUUUUCCACUCGUUGCUGAUUUGCGGUGUCUUCCCGCAGGCCCAGACCAGAUAUGGGUCAGUGAAGGAGGCUGGCUUACUGGGAAGACGAGCGUGGCUCACUGCAGGGAAGAGGCACUGUUUAUCUCAGCAGCAUUACAGGACAUUUCCGGAGCUUCGCCUUGGGGUCCACGGUGAAGACGGACCCAGUGCAGAGCACCACUCCUGGGGAAUGCCUGGAAGGAUAACAGGAUGCCCAGAGGAUCUGGGAGCAGACCUAUGGGGAAAAAGAACCAAGCUGAUUCUAGUAACAGCCUAGCCAAGCUAUGAGGCAUCUUAUCAAGAUCUGGAACAGCACAGGGGGAUGGACUUGAGCCUCUUAAAUGAGCUAGUACACCUUGUGGGAAAUUACACCAACAGGCUAUCCUGAUAUUACUAGGGAACACUCUGAGCCAGGGCAGCCUACAGUAGGCAGUGAAUGCAUUUUUGCAUUUGCCCCCGCAUGGGAAUCAAACCCACAACACUCGCAUUGCAAGUGCCAUGGUCUGCCAACUGAGCCACACAGAACAUAAAUGACUCUACAUUUGAGUGAAUGGUUGUUUGAAACCGUAUUUCCCGUUUACUGUUAUAGCACUUUCAAUACUGAGCGCAAAUGUAAUAGUUUUCUCUAGAAACUACCGUCUCUAGUAAAAGGAACUUUGUAAAUCUAUGAAAAUAUAUACGCCAUGAAUAUGACCACCCAAGCUGCAACCAGCUGUGAAAUUGGUUUCAAUUUCCCUUCAAUUACUUAUCUUUUCUUUGGGUUGACUGCAUUUUUACUUAUUGCAAGGCGAGCUGUAUUUUGCACCUCACAGACACUAAGUCUAGAGAAGGUUCAAUGGACUCCUUUAACAGACCCAGCCCCUGUCCACAUCUGUUCCUUUGUCUCCAUGGUAAAUUACCAUGGUAAAUUUGUCUCUGUGCUUGUGAACCCAAGGCGCCCCCGAGAGUGAGUCUGUUUCGUGCGAUGCGUUCGCUGCCUGACAUGUUGUUCACACACUGGAUAUCACCCUGACACGCACGUACACGUGCACACGCCCGGGCAUUUAACACCCCGCGUUGCCCUCAGGACAUGAGAUGCUAAUGUGAAACGCAUUUGCAUGUACUUUCCACCUAAAUAUGCAAAGCUUUUGGAACGAACAUUGGCUUUCUCACCUCACUUCGUCGUCCAAGUAUGGUAAUGCCUGCUGAGAUCUGGCCGUGAGGGAGAAGUGUCUAAGAGAUGCGGCAAGAUGGCCAGCAUUAUCUCCGUUGCCUUGGCGGCUGACUCCUGGUGUGUGUGUGUGUGUGUGUGGGAUUUUCAUGUGUGUGUCAAUACAGUGACACUGCAUUACUGAAUUAAACCAAAGAACCAUUCAGUCACACUGUCCCCCUCUGUGUAGCUAAAUCGGCAUCAGUCAAUUCUGGGUCCUAAACGGAUCACUGUUCUUUUUUUAUAGUGCACUAUUUUGACUAGGGCCCCUUAAGGAGGAGAGUACCAGUUGGGACAUAGCCCCCCUCUGCACCUCCAUUUAACAAUCUGAAGAUUGGAGGUUUAGCAGACACGUCGGACGAUCACAGAAAUGGAUGCAUAACGGAAUGAAAACGUCCCCCAAUGUUGAUGGCUUUCCAGCAAUGUUUUGUUUUUCCCAUCAGCAAGGUUGCCCAGUUGAUUUCAUUUGGGCAUUUUAUCUGGGUUGAAUUGGCUCGUCUGAGUCAUUGGGUGGUUGAAAUGGUUCUGAUGUAAAAUGAAAAUGCAAAACGGAAUGGUACGCGUUGCCUCGCCAACCAUGUUGACAGACUGUGAAUUACCUUGUCAGAUUUUAUGUUUUUGCGUUCUUAUAAAGACUAUAUUCCACCAAACUAUAUUCAAUAAAAGUGACUGUUUUCAAGUUA